AGAGAGAGAGAGAGAGAGAGAGAGAGAGAGAGAGAGAAAUCUUUUCUAUUUUUAUUUCCAUUAUCUAGGGCAGUGUUUGUCAAUCUUAGUAAGUUUGUGUGGAUUUCAACUUCCAGAAUUCCCCAGGCACAUCAUCAGAUUUCUGUUUAAUUGGGGGUGUUCAACGUGUUAUUAAUUUAGCUUGAACGGAAUAUAUGUAGGGUUGAACUGAGGAGGUCCUAGGUACUCUCUGAACUUGGUGGUUUUCUUGCAGGCGUUUCAUACCCAACUAGGGAAUAUCAUCAGUGCUAGAAGGGAGGGGGAUUUGGGGUGAAGGGAGGAGGAAGGGGGGGAGGAGGAGGAGGAAGGACUAUGCAGUCCUUGAUGCUCUCUGAGGACCCCACAAUUUAGCUUCUCAUAGGUUAAUUUUUUACUUCGUUAAACUGAAGUUAAGGUACAUUAUGUCUACUGCAUUCCCACCAUCUACUAAGAAAGUUAUCCCAUCCAAAAAAGGGGUUAGAGGUCGUUACGGCCAUUUGUUCUUGACUUAUCCAAGUUGAACUUCUGCUAAAAUUGCAGCCUUGGUUUUUAGGAGAUUUACAAAACAAUUUUAUUACGAUCAACUCUACAGCAAGGCGGCGGGGUGGUGGUGGUUGUCCAAAACAAGUCUUAUUUAUUAUAUACAAAAAAAAUAUUUAUCAAUUGCCAGUAAUACAAAUCGUUUUUUUAAAAAAAUACACGAAGUGCACACAGCACCCGAAGGGAUGAAUGUUUUAAAUAAGGCUAGGUUUUACUCUGAGAAUCCUUCUUUUCCUAAUUCCAAUUUGCAUUCAUCCCUCCAAACUCCUCCCUUCCCACCCUCACAAAAAAAAAGUUGAAAAUCUAUCCAAGCAAGCAAAUGUAACUCAAGGUAAUUUUUUUCUUCUCCAAAAUAUGAUUUUGCAAUCAAAGCCGGGAACAUAUUUACUGGGAGGAUUUAAA